rnacentral:rRNA from 1 species
UACGGAGGGGGCUAGCGUUGUUCGGAAUUACUGGGCGUAAAGCGCACGUAGGCGGCUUUGUAAGUUAGAGGUGAAAGCCCAGGGCUUAACCCUGGAAUUGCCUUUAAGACUGCAUCGCUAGAAUCGUGGAGAGGUGAGUGGAAUUCCGAGUGUAGAGGUGAAAUUCGUAGAUAUUCGGAAGAACACCAGUGGCGAAGGCGACUCACUGGACACGUAUUGACGCUGAGGUGGCGAAAGCGUGGGGAUCAAACAGG